rnacentral:rRNA from 1 species
CGUGGGCAACCUGCCCUACAGAUGGGGAUAACUCCGGGAAACCGGGGCUAAUACCGAAUAAUCAGUUCCUUCGCAUGAAGGAACUCUGAAAGACGGCAUCUCGCUGUCACUGUAGGAUGGGCCCGCGGCGCAUUAGCUAGUUGGUGGGGUAAUGGCCUACCAAGGCAACGAUGCGUAGCCGACCUGAGAGGGUGAUCGGCCACACUGGGACUGAGACACGGCCCAGACUCCUACGGGAGGCAGCAGUAGGGAAUCUUCCACAAUGGACGAAAGUCUGAUGGAGCAAUGCCGCGUGAGUGAAGAAGGUUUUCGGAUCGUAAAGCUCUGUUGCGAGGGAAGAACACGUACGGGAGUAACUGCCCGUACCUUGACGGUACCUCGUCAGAAAGCCACGGCUAACUACGUGCCAGCAGCCGCGGUAAUACGUAGGUGGCAAGCGUUGUCCGGAAUUAUUGGGCGUAAAGCGCGCGCAGGCGGUCCUUUAAGUCUGAUGUGAAAGCCCACGGCUCAACCGUGGAGGGUCAUUGGAAACUGAGGGACUUGAGUACAGAAGAGGAAAGCGGAAUUCCACGUGUAGCGGUGAAAUGCGUAGAGAUGUGGAGGAACACCAGUGGCGAAGGCGGCUUUCUGGUCUGUAACUGACGCUGAGGCGCGAAAGCG